ACAGUUGUCUAUGGCCCUGAAUGUGCCCGAUCUUGUCUGAUCUCGUAAGCUAAGCAGGUUGGGCCUGGUUAGUACUUGGAUGGGAGAUCACUGUCCCUGUGCUUUCUACUGCCUCGAGUGACAUAGCUGUUGACUGGU
rnacentral:rRNA from 1 species